GAUGAACGCUGGCGGCGUGCUUAACACAUGCAAGUCGAACGAAGCACCUUGAUUUGAUUCUUCGGAUGAAGAUCUUGGUGACUGAGUGGCGACGGGUGAGUAACGCGUGGGUAACCUGCCUCAUACAGGGGGAUAACAGUUAGAAAUGACUGCUAAUACCGCAUAAGACCACAGCACCGCAUGGUGCAGGGGUAAAAACUCCGGUGGUAUGAGAUGGACCCGCGUCUGAUUAGGUAGUUGGUAAGGUAACGGCUUACCAAGGCGACGAUGCAUAGCCGAGUUGAGAGACUGAUCGGCCACAUUGGGACUGAGACACGGCCCUU
rnacentral:rRNA from 1 species